GGUUAAUGAAGAAAGGGUGGCAAAUGGAUGCCAUGGCACUAUCUGGCGAUGAAGGACGUAGUAAGCUGCGAUAAGCUCCGGGGAGCCGCUAACAGGCUUUGAUCCGGGGAUUUCCGAAUGGGGCAACCCGCACGGCGGAAUGGUCGUGCACCCGAAAGGGAGCAAACCCGGGGAACUGAAACAUCUCAGUACCCGGUGGAAUAGAAAUCAAUAGAGACUCCCCUAGUAGCGGCGAGCGAACGGGGAAUAGCCCAAACCCAGCAUGGCUGGGGGUUGUAGGACGCCAAUAUGGAUCAUGUGACGGUAGGAGAACGGUUCUGGAAAGGCCGAUCAAAGAGGGUAACAAUCCCGUAUCCGACAUCGAAGCAUGGACUAGGCGUAUCCUGAGUAACGCUGAGCACGAGAAAUUCAGCGUGAAGCCGGGUCGACCACGAUCCAAGGCUAAGUACACGAUAGUGACCGAUAGCGUACGAGUACCGCGAGGGAAAGGUGAAAAGAACCCCGGGAGGGGAGUGAAAUAGAACCUGAAAUUUGCCACUUACAAGUAGUGGGAGCCCGCAAGGGUGACCGCGUACCUUUUGCAGAAUGGGCCUACGAGUUACUAGACGUUGCCAGGUUAAGUGCCUUAAGGCAUGGAGCCGCAGUGAAAGCGAGGGUUAAAAGCCCGACACAGUAGCGUCUAGUAGACCCGAAACCACGUGAUCUAUUUAUGGCCAGGUUGAAGUUGGGGUAACACCCAAUGGAGGACCGAACUAAUGACUGUUGAAAAAGUCUUGGAUGAGCUGUGAAUAGGGGUGAAAGGCUAAUCAAACGUGGAGAUAGCUGGUACUCUCCGAAAUAGCUUUAGGGCUAGCCUCAAGAGUUCAGUCGUGAGGGUAGAGCACUGAAUGGGUGCGGGUCUUUAACCGGAUACCAAAUCCAAUCAAACUCCGAAUAUCACGACUCCACAUCUUGGGAGUCAGACCGUAGGGGAUGAGCUCUAUGGUCGAAAGGGAAACAGCCCAGAUCGACGAAUAAGGUCCCUAAAUAUCGCUCAGUGGAAAAGGAUGUGUAGACACUCAGACAGCCAGGAGGUUGGCUUAGAAGCAGCCAUUCCUUUAAAAAGUGCGUAACAGCUUACUGGUCGAGUGCCUAUGCGCCGAAGAUUCAACGGGGCUCAAGCGAUAUACCGAAUUCUCGACUCUUAUCCUGCCGCAAGGUUUGAUAGGGGGUUAGGAGAGCAUUCCAUAUGCCUGCGAAGGUGACUCGCGAGGGUUGCUGGAGGUAUUGGAAGUGAGAAUGUAGGCAUGAGUAACGAAUAGAGGGACGAGAAAUCCCUCCGCCGAAUACCCAAGGUUUCCAGGGCAAGGGUCAUCCUCCCUGGGUGAGUCGACCCCUAAGGGUAAGCCGAGAGGUGAACCGAUGGGAAGCAGGCCAAGAUUCCUGCACCUGGGUGCGAUUAAAAUGGACUGACGCAGAAGGUUAGUUUCCGCCGGUCAACGAAUAUACCGGUUCAACAAGUGAGGUAUGCUCCGUUUAAGAGAUGGGGAUUAGCCAGGCUUGGAAUACGAGACGACCGCAAGGAAGUCGAAGGGAAGCGAGUCACGCUGACAAGAAAUAGGUCCGUAUGUGCGCACUCAGAUCGUACCGCAAACCGACACAGGUGGGUGAGAUGAAUAUUCUAAGGCGAUCGAGACAAACACUCCAAAGGAACUCGGCAAAUUAGCUUCGUAACUUCGGAAGAAGAAGCGCCCCAAUCCGGGCAACCGGUGAGGGGCCGCAGUGAAAGGGCCCAAGCGACUGUUUAACAAAAACACAGGACUCUGCGAAUCCGUAAGGAAAAGUAUAGGGUCUGACGCCUGCCCGGUGCCGGAAGGUCAACAGGAGAUGUCAGCCGCAAGGCGAAGCGUCGAAUCGAAGCCCCGGUAAACGGCGGCCGUAACUAUAACGGUCCUAAGGUAGCGAAAUUCCUUGUCGGGUAAGUUCCGACCUGCACGAAUGGCGUAACGAUUUGGGCACUGUCUCUGGAGUGUUCUCGGUGAAACUAAAAGAUCAGUGAAGAUGCUGAUUACCCGCAGCUGGACGGAAAGACCCCGGAACCUUUACUAUAGCUUAUCACUGAAUUCUGGCGAUGUCUGUGUAGGAUAGGUGGGAGACUUUGAUCUCAGGGUGCUAGCCCUGAGGGAGUCGUCGGUGAAAUACCACCCUGACUUCUCUAGGAUUCUAAUCCCGAAAGGGAGACACUGAUUGGUGGGUAGUUUAACUGGGGCGGUUGCCUCCAAAAUGGUAACGGAGGCGUUCAAAGGUCCAUUCAGCACGUAUGGAAAUCGUGCGACGAGUGCAAUGGCACAAAUGGGCUUCACUGUAAGACAUACAAGUCAAACAGAUACGAAAGUAGGACAUAGUGAUCCGGUGAUUCUGAGUGGAAGGGUCAUCGCUCAACGGCUAAAAGGUACUCCGGGGAUAACAGGCUUAU
rnacentral:rRNA from 1 species